rnacentral:lncRNA from 10 species
AUGCCCAAGCAGAAUGUUCACUGCAGCACAGUUUGUAGUGUCACUUCUCGCUGUUGGUAAGGAAGCUUUCUGAUAGUACAGGUUUGAUCUUGUCCCUCUCCUGCUGAAAACCUUUCACUGGCUCCCUGUUGUCUACUUUCCUGCCCCGUAGCCCUGCACUUCUGCCCUGUCCUCUCUCUCCUUGCAGCUCUGCUCUGGCCAUUUUGAAGUCCCUUCCCUUUUGGCCAAGCACAGCGUCCACAGGGUUCUCUGUAUCCUGGUCCUGUUGCCUCCCCAACCCCAGUCCUUCUCACCCUUUCCUACCCCGGUAUCACACCUCCUCCUCUGCCCUGGACCUGAAAUGCCCUUUCCCAGAUCCUACCCCACCCCUACCUCCCACUGCCAACUCCAUUACUUUCUCCAAGCAACUAAGUGUCAUAUCACCUAUAAAGCUUUUAGUGAACUUCCUCUGAUCCUAGGGAAAUUGAUUCCUGUGUGCCCCCCAUAGAAUUGACUCCCAUCUGCCUACCACCUGCAGACAUCAAUUGGAACCCCUCAAAAAAGGCAGUAUCCCCAUUUACUUGCCAUUUUCCCUCUCCAGUCUGGGAGCUAUUCAUGUUCAGGCACCAUGUCUUUCAUGCCUCUCUGUACCCCCAGCACAUGGCACAUGGAAUAUACUCACUAAAUAUUUCACAAAUUAGUAUCUGGAUGAAUGAAUAAAAAGUCUGACCUCUACAGCAUCAGCCCCAGAAAAAUGAAUUCAAGAAUUACGCAGACUGGGGUGAGACUGAUGGAAUUCAAUCUAAUCAACUCCUCCCCAUGGAUACUGAAACCAGUAAGUACUGCUAUUUAUAACCUCCAAAGUUUUACUUUAGUUGGAUGAUUCAACCAAUUAUUGAAUUGCCCUAAGUUUUCUUAAAAUUCAUUUAGAACUAUUCUGAAACAUAGUCAACUUAUUUAUCUUUAGUUCAGGCAUGCUUCUUGUGAAAGUAUGUAAACUUCUUGAGAAAACAAAAUCCCUAUCUACUAGGAAAUGAAUUUAUGAAAAGGAUGAACAGACAAUAACUAGUAGCCUAGCCUAGGGAUCCAAGAGUUAAUGUUACCUCCCAAAAGUGUUAAUUGGCUCCUUAUUCAGCAGGAUCCAAGGAUCCAUUCUAAUCACACAUUAGUGAUUUUGUUUCUACCAACUCUGGGGAAAAGCCUUUCUUAGUACUUUAUGCCACAGCAGAAGUCCAUGUGUGGUGUUCCAUGAAGUUGUAACAUUAAAUUUGUUUGUGUAUCUUGUAGAAAUCAACCUUGCUGACUUAUAAGCACAAAUCUAAAAGCAUCUCAUUUACUGAGGACCAAGAAGGGACAUAUAAGUAAAGUUUUAAAAUAUCUUAAUUUACUCCCUUUAAAUCUACGGGCUUAUACAGUCAGACCAUUUGUGAUAGCAAUGCUUUUAAAUAUGUUGUACAUUUCGUAAGCAGAUGAGACAGAAUAUCAUUUAACAUUCUCCUGAACACUCAACAUUAUCCCCAAGAACUCUGAUGCCAAGGGAGAUACCAAGAGAUACCAAGAGAGCUGGUCUGGGAGUUGGAGAACUAAGUUGUCAUCCUGGCUUUUUCAUGACUUGAUGUGUGACCCUCAGCAAGCUACUUCUGCCUUCUGGGUCUCAUCGAUACAAUGAAGAGUGAGACUAGAUGAUUUUGAGAUGGUUUCUUCCAAUUGUGUGAGGAUGUUUUACAACUCAAAGAUUUUGGAUUAGGAAGUACAACACAGCCCACUGGGCUAGCUUACAAGGGAAAGCCUGAUAGCUGCUAAGAAAAUCCACUAAACAUUCUUUAGAAUAUGAAAGAUAAUCACUUUAUCCCAAAGAAGUUAAAGAGAAGAUCUCAUGAAAUGCACUUAAAAAAAUGCAUAUUUAUUUUUAUUUAUUCAUUUUUUUAAAAAAAACAAAAACCUACAUUCUGGCUGCUAUAACACACAUUGCAUAUUUAUAAUGAAAAUGAAAAAAAUUAAAUAUUCAACAUAC